GGACUACGCCCACCUCUGCUGGCCUCUAUUAUUACCUUCCCAGCCAGGGGAAGUAAAGGACCAAGAUGGAGAAGAGAACCAGCUUUAACAUCUUCUCACAGGCAAGGGUGAGUGAAGAGUCAGAAGAUCAGCUUGUCAUCAACCAGCCGCCCAGCUGGGCUGCACACACUAACAGGACUGAACAGUGAAAGAACUACCUCCUUUCCUAAGUGUAAAGGGCACGCCUGCUCCCCACCACUCGGAUACCACUUGAGAACAAGGCUAAUAAUGUCAGGUGACUGCAGCAUAAAUACCAGCUCCAGGAAAAGAACCCCAAACCCGGGCAGUCAUCCUUAAAUGAUUCAGCAGUGCCUAGAGAACAUGGAUUCCACAAUGAGUCAGGCACUGGCCAUUUCUGCUAGACUGUUUACUCCUCAGUCUCUCCAGAAGAGAGCAGACACAGCAAUACAUCCACCUUCAAAGCUGCAGUCUGUGCUACUCUACCACACGGAAAGGAGCCUUCUGCCAUUUCUAUAUUCUGAAGAAUAUUCUGAUAUUGUGAGAAAGAAAUUGGUCUCUUAUGCGUGCCAAUAAGGAUCUUCUUUAUGUAACAUAACCAGAAACAAAACAACAAGGAACCAAAGUAAAAUGGGUAGAAUGGAGAGGCACUAAAGGUGAAAAGAAACUUAUCAAUUACCUGUGGUUUACAUUGCAAGAUUUUAGUUUUAACCCAUCCCAAUUCUAUCAAUAUCUUUAC